rnacentral:lncRNA from 1 species
UUUUCCUAUGUAAUUUCUCCCUGAGUAUGUGUAUUGACGAUUAUGCCCUUAUUGGCAAGUGACGUGGACUUAUUCUUAUCGCUUUCAUUUUUAUUUCUCGUUAUCGCAUUUAAAUUGUACACGCUAGUACGAGUAUGCGUAAAUUUUAAAGUGUAAAAUAUCUACUUCAGAUAGAUUUCGAUUUUCUUUUACUGUAGGAAAUCUGAAAAGCUAUCCUUGGAUUCCUUUUAAAUCCUACCCGUGCACUUCCCUUCAUCAUUCAGUCUCAGCUAUCCCAUUUUUUCUGUAUGUUUUGUCCCCCCCUCAAUCAGAAAAGCAUAUAUCUCUCUCUCUUCUCUCUCUUCUCCCUCUCCCACGCCACAUUUCUUCUUCUUCUUCCUCUCUGCAACAAUCACAAAACAUACCAAAACUCACAAAUGUGACAAACCAACUACAUCAUCAUGCUCAUCUCAAUCCCACGAUCACAACCAUGUCCUUGAAAUCUGGUGUGGACGAGUUUUGACUCACCAACUCGGAAGGUCGACUCGGCGAGUUCGACAUAUCGAUUUUCAAGCCAUGCAUGGCUAAGGUAAGCCUUAAGAAACCCUUAGAACCUUCAUUUCACUUUUAUGGGUUGUUAUUGAUCCUUUGUUUGUGUUUUGAACGUGUAGUUUUACCCAGAAACUCAAGAAGAAGGAGAAUCCGAAGUUUUUCGUACAAGAACCGUGGCCAUUUAGUCACUUUCAAACCAUUUUUAUGGUCAACCUCAACCACAACUGGAAUUCUUCUAGGUACAAACUUGUUCUCUACAUUCCUAACUUCAAAAUGGAUUUUGAAUCACUGAGUUUGGUUAAGUAACGAGUUAGAAAUCAACUCUGGAAGUUGGGAAGAAAAUUUUAGUUUUCUGGAAAAUUUCAGCCGUGGUCGUUUGGCCACUUUCAGGCCAAAUUUCUGAACAACACGGCCUAUAUUCGAACUUUCUGUAAAUUGGGAUCAGUAGAUCACAUUCCUAGCUUUAAUUUGGCUUUUGUAGAAGUGAAUUUGGUUGAGAAUCGAACUCGUUAUGGGCUCUGGAAGUUGGGCAA